GACUUCCUACGGGACGCAGCAGUGAGGAAUAUUGGUCAAUGGGCGCGAGCCUGAACCAGCCAAGUCGCGUGAGGGAGGACCGCCCUAUGGGUUGUAAACCUCUUUUGUCAGGGAGCAACGCCGGCUACGUGUAGCCGGACUGAGAGUACCUGAAGAAAAAGCAUCGGCUAACUCCGUGCCAGCAGCCGCGGUAAUACGGAGGAUGCGAGCGUUAUCCGGAUUUAUUGGGUUUAAAGGGUGCGUAGGCGGAAUGCCAAGUCAGCGGUAAAAUCGCGAGGC
rnacentral:rRNA from 1 species